rnacentral:rRNA from 1 species
GACGAACGCUGGCGGCGUGCCUAAUACAUGCAAGUAGAACGCUGAAGGAGGAGCUUGCUUCUCUGGAUGAGUUGCGAACGGGUGAGUAACGCGUAGGUAACCUGCCUGGUAGCGGGGGAUAACUAUUGGAAACGAUAGCUAAUACCGCAUAAGAGUAGAUGUUGCAUGACAUUUGCUUAAAAGGUGCAAUUGCAUCACUACCAGAUGGACCUGCGUUGUAUUAGCUAGUUGGUGGGGUAACGGCUCACCAAGGCGACGAUACAUAGCCGACCUGAGAGGGUGAUCGGCCACACUGGGACUGAGACACGGCCCAGACUCCUACGGGAGGUAGCAGUAGGGAAUCUUCGGCAAUGGACGGAAGUCUGACCGAGCAACGCCGCGUGAGUGAAGAAGGGUGUCGGAUCGUAAAGCUCUGUUGUAAGAGAAGAACGAGUGUGAGAGUGGAAAGUUCACACUGUGACGGUAGCUUACCAGAAAGGGACGGCUAACUACGUG